rnacentral:rRNA from 1 species
GAUGAACGCUCGCGGCAGGCCUAAUACAUGCAAGUCGAACGGGAUUGCGGUAGUAGCUUGCUACUACUGCAUGAGAGUGGCGCACGGGUGCGUAACGCGUGAGCAACCUACCCAUAUCAGGGGGAUAGCCCGGCGAAAGUCGGAUUAACACCGCAUAACAUCAACAGUUCGCAUGUUCAGUUGAUUAAAUAUUUAUAGGAUAUGGAUGGGCUCGCGUGACAUUAGCUAGUUGGUAGGGUAACGGCUUACCAAGGCAACGAUGUCUAGGGGCUCUGAGAGGAGAAUCCCCCACACUGGUACUGAGACACGGACCAGACUCCUACGGGAGGCAGCAGUAAGGAAUAUUGGUCAAUGGGCGCAAGCCUGAACCAGCCAUGCCGCGUGCAGGAGGACUGCCCUAUGGGUUGUAAACUGCUUUUAUCAGGGAAUAAACCCCUUUACGAGUAGAGGGUUGAAUGUACCUGAAGAAUAAGGAUCGGCUAACUCCGUG